UUGCCUUGUCUAGUCAGCAACAUGGUGCCUCGUUUCAAAACCAAAGCAGCAACGAUAAUUUGUUCUAGCAAAAUCUAGGCAUAUCCAAUGAUCUCUCAAGUGAUCCCAACCAACAUUCACACAGAUCCUUGAAAAGCUAUACCAUGCCAGCCACGCCAUCAUUGUAAAUGAGUUGGUGAAGCUAGCAUCCAUUCAGCUCUCAUUCAAUGAUUGUGCUUCUGCAAUGGAUACCAUAAAACGGGUAGAUGCAAUAUUUUCACUGUAUUAUGGAUCUCACACGUCGAAGCUAUUUCCAUAUUUGGAAAAUCUCAAAAGAAAAGUUCUAAAGCUCGCUCCAUAAUGAGAAACCUUCUGUUUUAUCUGUUCAGUUGGCUGGCCGCAGAUGUAAUGAAUGUGGACAACCACUUCCUGAAAGUUAUGCGCCCCCUGCAGAUGAACCUUGGACAACUGGAAUUUUCAGUCAAUUGUUGCCAAAACUGCCUUGUCAACUGAAUGUGUCUCAUCUAAUGUUCUGGUACUUGUGUCUCAGUUCUGCUCUUAAUUCAUCUCAGCCAUCAGUUAGCACCACUGAUACAUCUC